rnacentral:rRNA from 1 species
UACGGAGGGUGCAAGAGUUAUCCGGAUUCACUGGGUUUAAAGGGUGCGUAGGUGGAUUGGUAAGUCAGUGGUGAAAUCUCUGGGCUUAACUCAGAAACUGCCAUUGAUACUAUCAGUCUUGAAUACCGUGGAGGUCAGCGGAAUAUGUCAUGUAGCGGUGAAAUGCUUAGAUAUGACAUAGAACACCAAUUGCGAAGGCAGCUGGCUACACGAAUAUUGACACUGAGGCACGAAAGCGUGGGGAUCAAACAGG